rnacentral:lncRNA from 1 species
UUAUUGCUGUUGUUUAUUCCACAUGGGAAACUUCAGUUCUUUGUUUUGUUUCUGUGGUAGUAACCUGACUAGCCUUGAAAGACACUGUCUCUACAAUCAAAAUAAACAAAACAACCAACCAAAAACUCCAGGUGAAUGGACAAUAUCAGGAGGAGAAUGGAAUUAUCAGGGAAGGAUACACAGGGGAAUCUGACAAAGGCCAACAACUGCUUGGAUUUCUCCCUGGACAGAGCUCACUGUCGGAACCAUUUCAGGACCGCUGAUGUCUCCAUGUGCACAUCUAGGGCUCAGAAGCCCCCGCAUAGGCUCUUCCCUUAAAAUAAUCUGCAAAGGUGUGGAGGUGUAGGUGAAGCCAAGCUGCCAGUCGUUCCUCAACAGCAAUGGAAUCUGAGUUCUAGAAUCUUCUGCCAGAUGGAAGACUUUUUCGGUGUUCUCUUUGGCAAUCACCAGAAAAGGCUUCUAAAUCAGCCCUCCUCCUGACCCCACAUGCCCCAACACAUACCCAAGGCCUCACUCUGCGCCCUCCAGAAGAAAACGUGCAAGUCGUACUAAUACUCCUGGACCCACUCACUGUUCCCAUGAGGUUCCCGUCUCUCCCUACCCCUACUUUCUUGCUGGGUAAUAAGAGCAGGAAGGUGUGUUUUCAGAUAAGCACAUUUAUCGUGUUUUCUCCCUGAAAGCUCCACCACUCAGAUGGGCAUUCUCUGUGUCCUGCAGGAAAAUUCUCCAGGAAAAAUCAGGAGAAUGGGGCCUGAAAAGAUACAAGUAAGAGAGAUUUUGUUGGAGUCCCAUGCAGUCCCAGAGGCAUUUCCAGGCCAUUGUACCUAAUGCUACAGUGAUCUCCCUCCUGUCUGAGAGGACUAGGACUCUUCCCAUUUGCAUUUGGACUGUUCAAGCCCUUACUUUAUUGCUCAGUUCUUCCUGGGCUCCAUGCUCUGCAUAAACAGACUCUAAAUUUAGAGGGCACUUUUCUUUUUGUGUAUCACAGGUCAGCACCUUUCACUUUUUGACUGCAACUCAAGGCAGAAAUACCAGUAUGUUGUAAUAUAAUACUUAAACAAUAUACACAUGUAUGUACACACAUGUAUGCAUACAUAUAUUCCUAAGACAAAGGCGUCAUGGAGACAACUUGACCUCACUGCACAGAAUGUGAAGAAGCUAGAGAAAAGACCGGUGUUCUCACUUGGCUUCACCCAAGGAGGUACUCAGCAUCUAAUAACUUUAAACAUAAUCUCUUCCCUUCUCUGAAAUUAGAAGUGAGGCUGAGCCUAUGGCCGCAGCAGUCCCG